ACGGGUGAGUAACACGUGAGUUACCUGCCCCGAAGUGGGAGAUAGCCCGGAGAAAUUCGGAUUAAUACCCCAUGUGAUCGAAAGAUUAAAGGCGGCGCAAGCUGUCGCUUCGGGAUGGGCUCGCGGCCUAUCAGCUAGUUGGCGGGGUAACGGCCCACCAAGGCGAUGACGGGUAGCUGAUCUGAGAGGAUGAUCAGUCACACUGGAACUGAGACACGGUCCAGACACCUACGGGUGGCAGCAGUCGAGAAUCAUUCGCAAUGGGCGAAAGCCUGACGGUGCGACGCCGCGUGGAGGAUGAAGGCCCUAGGGUCGUAAACUCCUGUCAUCAGGGAGUAAGGGCUUGCGCAGUCACUGGCGCGGGCAUUGAUAGUACCUGAAGAGGAAGGGACGGCAAACUUCGUGCCAGCAGCCGCGGUAAUACGAAGGUCCCAAGCGUUGUUCGGAUUUACUGGGCGUAAAGAGUCUGUAGGCGGCGGGGUAAGUCAGAUGUGAAAUCCCGGGGCUCAACCCCGGAACUGCAUCCGAUACUGCCUUGCUUGAGUAUUGGAGGGGAGCCUGGAAUUCUCGGUGUAGCAG
rnacentral:rRNA from 1 species